rnacentral:rRNA from 1 species
UUCCCNUAGUAGCGGCGAGCGAAACGGGAUAAGUUCAGCACUAAGUCCUCUAAUUAAUUUAGAGGAGAUUCAGUGUAUGGAAAGUCUAUUACUUUAUAUAAAGAUGAUACGUUCAAGUCCAUCUUGAAUGGGGCCAUUUAACCCGCAGAGGGUGCCAGGCCCGUAGUAACUAUUAUCAAUAUAAAGAAGGCUCUUCCAAAGAGUCGUGUUGCUUGAUAGUGCAGCACUAAGUGGGUGGUAAACUCCAUCUAAAACUAAAUAUAACC